AACGAACGCUGGCGGCAUGCCUAACACAUGCAAGUCGAACGAGACCUUCGGGUCUAGUGGCGCACGGGUGCGUAACUCGUGGGAACCUGCCCUUAGGUUCGGAAUAACUCCCCGAAAGGGGUGCUAAUACCGGAUAAUGUCUUCGGACCAAAGAUUUAUCGCCUUUGGAUGGGCCCGCGUUGGAUUAGCUAGUUGGUAGGGUAAAAGCCUACCAAGGCGACGAUCCAUAGCUGGUCUGAGAGGAUGAUCAGCCACACUGGGACUGAGACACGGCCCAGACUCCUACGGGAGGCAGCAGUGGGGAAUAUUGGACAAUGGGCGAAAGCCUGAUCCAGCAAUGCCGCGUGAGUGAUGAAGGCCUUAGGGUUGUAAAGCUCUUUUACCCGGGAUGAUAAUGACAGUACCGGGAGAAUAAGCUCCGGCUAACUCCGUG
rnacentral:rRNA from 1 species